rnacentral:rRNA from 1 species
CGCGUAGGCGGCGCUACAAGUCAGGCGUGAAAUUCCUGGGCUUAACCUGGGGGCUGCGCUUGAGACUGUGGUGCUAGAGGAUGGAAGAGGGUCGUGGAAUUCCCAGUGUAGAGGUGAAAUUCGUAGAUAUUGGGAAGAACACCGGUGGCGAAGGCGGCGACCUGGUCCAUUACUGACGCUGAGGCGCGACAGCGUGGGGAGCAAACA